GGCUGCACCUACAGGGCUGCACACUUCAGAGGACUUUUUAUAGACAGCGCCACCUACCGCAAUAGAUGAUCACUAACGUGCACAAUUUACGUUUUAAAUUGGUGAUUUCACUCAAAAUACACUUACAAUACAAAAGGCUUAUUCAGGAAGAAUUCCCCGUUCAUUUUAACCCCUGUCAGUUUUUCUACACAGCCGGAGGCUGCACUUUCAGGAACACACUGAUAGGACCGCAGUUUAAGGGCCGCCAACUUCUUCUCGGGCCCCGUUGUUCGUGUUUCCCACUGUGUUGAUGCUAAACGAAGUAGCAGCAUUUAUCGCCAUGAUGGACGACGGUAACCAUAUGGACAUCCCUUUGAUAGAGAAGUGGUGGUGUCUUCUUCCCAUGGAGCGUUUCCAAACAGAGGGGUACGACAACCUGAAACAAAAUGUGUAUAUAGAUUUUAGUGGCAAGUUAGGAGUUCACUUCCACUUCAUCAAACUGAUAACACACUAUCAGUGCCAUGUCAGUAGAACAUCUGAUAACUACAUUAAGUUCAUCAGACUGUGGAUGGCAGUCUUUGUCGAGAGUAUUUGUGCAUGUCAUUUUUUUCACCAGUGUAUUCGCUUUUUCCCAUUAUUUAUCUUAGAUGAAUAUUUAUGUUCGAAAUAUAUAGCCAGAGGUUCGCUUUCUGGACUAAUGAAGCCAGAAGCCUGCUCCAGGGAACCCUGAAGCCUGUUUACACAGUGCCAAGGCGGGGUGCUGUCACUGAUGAAGUUCUGCUCUAUAUGCAGGCUGUCACUGAACGCACUGCAAAGGAAACCAGACUGGUGGACUUCAUUAUCCAGUCAAAGGGAAUUGAGGAGUAUUUGGUGGUACUUUGAAAAUGUUCCUGUUUUCUCAUCAUUGCAGACUGACUCAGAAAAGAUUCACUUAGGGCCUUUGUUAGUAAUAUUAUCAGUGGACAGAACACUUUUUGGCUGUGUUUCAAAUGAAUAACUGAGUUCCAGAAAUUCAUUGUUUCUAUACUUUGGUUUGCCCUCAGGAUGUACUUAGUGGCAAACACUCUACUUGGAUUCAUCAGAAACCUUGUUGCCAGAUGCCUGUCUACCUGGAUAGUGAGGAACAACAGGACAAGCUUUUUGCAUUCUUAAAGACUGUACUGCACAGAGGACCACAACACAACUGAGCUUCACAGAUGAAGUUGUGUUCAUCUUUGAUGUUCUCUUUCCAGAGGCCAUCAUAUAUGGCCUGUCUAUGCAGGACAAUCUGCCCCUGCAUGAGGCUGAGCAGGUCUUCUUCAGUGGUCCAGCUUACCAUCAAAGUGAAGUGGAGGAGUUUUGUCAAAGGAUUUAAAAAGACCUGAAGAAAGAAGGCAGACUGUUCAGUUGGUAAGUGGUGCUCAUUUCAAAAGGAGGUAUAUUGGCAUGAAAUGUAAAAAAUAAAAUACAUUAUUCCAAAGUAAAUAAGUGAAAUAUGUACAGUUUAUCAGAUAUAUCAGUGCUAUAUCUACUUAUGCUUAUUAAUGUCUGUCUGUGUGUCUCUAUCAGAAGGAAGUGAGAUCAGAGGUUUAGCAGCGGGAGUCAUAGACUUCACUUACUUGUGUGUGCGUGCGUGCGUGCGUGCGUGCGUGCGUGCGUGCGUGCGUGCGUGCGUGCGUGCGUGCGUGCGUGCGUGCGUGCGCGCGUGCGUGCGUGCGUGCGUGCGUGCGUGCGUGCGUGUGUGCGCGCGUGCGUGUGAGAGAGAGGCACUGGAGAAGGUUAGUGAACACAGUGAAACAGAAAUGUGUAUGUGUGUUUGUCUGCAGACAUUGCGUGUUGAGUUGUUUUAUGUGUCCUUGUAAUGAGAAUAAAGAGUUUUUCUCGCAUUUUGCUUUGGAGAGAUGCCAGUAAUUGUCAUUGUCCUGCUGAAGGUGGCAACUGACAUCAAGGACUGCUGGGAAAUGGGGGUUAGAUGGGUGGGGGGGGUGCCUGACUCGCAAUGUUUAGGUACAUGGUACAUGUCAAACAUCCACAUGAAUGUUAGGACUCAAAGUUUCUCAGCAGAUUAUUGCAUUGUAACAGGAUGAUUGAUGUUAUUCACUUCACCUGUCAGUGGUCAUAAUGUUGUGGCUGAUUGAUGUAUGUCCUGACAGAGCUGCAUUACAUGCAAGAGGUGGAAACAGUAACCUGCUGAUUUCAUGCACAUGUUCUGGUUGUACCAACAACUAUCAGAGUUUAUACAUGCAAUAUUUAACACACUAAACUCAAAUCCAGUUAUUUAUAUGCCACCAUUGUGUCCAGGUUUUGUCCAGUCUGCUGGUAUCUGUGGCUCCAUGGGUGCACAUUUGUGGUCAGUUUGGUCCAUAUCCACAAAACUCACCAUCAUUCAGCAAACAACUUUUGCAGCACUUUGCUUCACUUUACAUUCAUCUUUGGAUUGACCGUGUCUUUAGAUUCAAAUAUCUGCUGUUUAGAGUGAUGAAAGAAUUGUGUAUUGCUCUCACCAUAAGCUAAACAAAGCUUACAUGACUUUCAGUCUCAGUUGGAAGCACAAUAUAAGCUGUAUAUAAAUUACAACGUUAGCUCUGUUAAGCUUGCUCAUGUAUAUGCCACUUAUUCAAAGUUUAUCUUGAUUGCAAGUGCUGUAUUCACAGUUUCUGCUUAAAAACUGCAUGUUCAAUAAUAUUUAGAUUUUAUGCUAUUGCAUAAACGGUUGCAUUUGUAGAGAAUGUGUCUAACCAUCAGACCAUUUACAUGUUAUCCAAAUGACCCAAAAUAGUUAUAAGGCUUUUAUCUUAUUUGAGCCAAAAGAUGUAUUUAAUUACAAUUUGUAAAACCUCAUCAUGCUCUUGUCUUUCUAUGGUGAUGAAAUUCAGAUUUAAUAUAAAAGAAAUAGCUUCAAGGCUGUACUUGAUUCACAUUCACCAUCCCUGCUAAUAACCUGCAACAACAUACUGAGUAUAAGUCACAUUUUGGAGCUGUACUUUAUCUGGCUGUUGCUGGUGUACACUGUUGUCCUCUGGAUGUUAUUAGUUUUUAAAGGGAACUUGUAGCUUUUUCUUUAAUGGUCAAAUUGUUUUUUUUUCUUUGCUAUUUUGUGUCUUGUAUUCAGUUGUAUUUGUGUCAUUGUGUGAAGUAUGGCUGUCAUUGUAAGGAUCUCCUUCCCACAGUAGAUGUGUCAAUUGCCCAGCAGGAUCAUACCUGCUUGGGUGGCUGUAUUUUUCUUCUGUAUUCUGUAGUGCUUUAAAAAAAAAAAAAGAUGUUUAUUGUGAUUUGGACUAGUUGCUUUUGUACUUGCUUGCUGAUGUCUGUAAAGUUGAAUGGGGGAGUUCAUUCCAGAGGAAAAGUGGAGGAACUACUAAUGUGAAGAUUGAAUAUUAAGAUGUACUACUUGUUAGAUGUGUUCCACAUCACUAUGUAUGUUAUUUUCUAUGUUUUGCAUGACAUGCAGGUAAUUGGAAUGAUUUAUGUUGUCUGGAUGUUGUCAUUAAACUGGUUCUCAUAGAAACAAUGUCAUGUUAACUUUAUUUUGAAACAAUAAAUUCAAAGUUAAGACAUGUUA